rnacentral:lncRNA from 1 species
ACAGACUAAACUAGAAUAAAACUUUUAUCUCUAAAACAUUUUUGAAACGACAUAAUGGUCAUUGUAUAAGAUGGUUGUCAGACCAAAACUCUGUUUCUUUUCCUUUAUUUCAAUAAAAAGGAUAACUCGACAUUGAACCACAAAUCUGAUAUCACUUACGAGUAUAUCCAGAGGAUCAACCUGUAGUACCCUAUAUUGUACAACAUUACUCCGUUAAACGUAUUUACGUUUAAGAUUUAACACUGUGUGUGUCAGUCAAAAACUCAAC